UAGAAGUAAGGACCAAUCACUAUAAUGCUAUGAUGGCGUCUCGAUGCGACCGGUGAAUCGCUUGUGUAUGUUUCCGAUUCAAUGAAAAAUUGCGGAUAAGGUUAAGAUUGUUUGGAAAAGACGGACAAAGAAUUUUUGAAGAUCGCUUAUUCACAUUAUUUGCGAAGAUGAGCCGGAAGGAAGCGUUAACUCAAUUUAUACAACAGAUCCAUGGGCGGCCCGUUGUUGUAAAACUAAGUACCGGUAUUGAUUAUAGAGGUGUGUUGGCGUGUCUAGAUGGUUACAUGAACAUAGCUCUAGAACAGACGGAAGAAUAUGUUAAUGGGCAAUUAAAGAAUAAAUACGGGGAUGCUUUUAUAAGGGGGAACAAUGUGUUGUAUAUCAGUACACAAAAGCGUAGAACUUAAUUAAGAAUUGCUGCAAGGCAUGAAGUAUUAUUAACCAAUUAUACAAUAGGGAUAACUGUAACUUUGAAUAAAAAAAGAUUAUUUCUACAGAAAUUGCAAGUGAGACUUAUAUUAAAGAAUUAUAAUAAAUGCAAUUAUAUGUAUAUAUAUA